CAAAAGCGUAUAUUAAAGUUGUUGCAGUUAAAAAGCUCGUAGUUGAACCUUGGGCUUGGCUGGCCGGUCCAUCUUUUUUGAUGCGUACUGGACCCAGCCGAGCCUUUCCUUCUGGCUAGCCUUUUGGCGAACCAGGACUUUUACUUUGAAAAAAUUAGAGUGUUCAAAGCAGGCCUUUGCUCGAAUAUAUUAGCAUGGAAUAAUAGAAUAGGACGUUAUGGUUCUAUUUUGUUGGUUUCUAGGGCCAUCGUAAUGAUUAAUAGGGACGGUCGGGGGUAUCAGUAUUCAGUUGUCAGAGGUGAAAUUCUUGGAUUUACUGAAGACUAACUACUGCGAAAGCAUUUACCAAGGACGUUUUCAUUAA
rnacentral:rRNA from 1 species